CCAUUCGUGAGUUUUCUCUGCUAAAACCCCAUUCGGAUAAAUGUUUAUUGCGAGCAGCGUUCGACUGUUUCUGCAGGGAUCAGAGCGGUACUUUGGUAGAUUGUACCGAUCGAUCCCUGCAAUCUAAUGAGGGGUCAUUCGGUAAAAUAUGUGGGGAAUUGCCAAAGUUAGUGAAUUUAAUGUAAAAUGUUACUUUUUCCUGUGCCUAUCAAUAACA